CAGUCGCCACGGUAACACGUAGGGUGCGAGCGUUAAUCGGAAUUACUGGGCGUAAAGCGUGCGCAGGCGGUUUUGUAAGACAGGCGUGAAAUCCCCGGGCUCAACCUGGGAAUGGCGCUUGUGACUGCAAAGCUAGAGUGCGGCAGAGGGGGAUGGAAUUCCGCGUGUAGCAGUGAAAUGCGUAGAUAUGCGGAGGAACACCGAUGGCGAAGGCAAUCCCCUGGGCCUGCACUGACGCUCAUGCACGAAAGCGUGGGGAGCAAACAGGAUUAGAUACCCGCGUAGUCCCUGUCUCUUAUAC
rnacentral:rRNA from 1 species